rnacentral:rRNA from 1 species
UACGUAGGGGGGCUAGCGUUGUCCGGAUUUAUUGGGCGUAAAGAGCGUGUAGGCGGCCAUGUAGGUCUGCUGUGAAAACUCGAGGCUCAACCUCGAGACGUCGGCGGAAACCAUCUGGCUAGAGUCCGGAAGAGGAGAGUGGAAUUCCUGGUGUAGCGGUGAAAUGCGCAGAUAUCAGGAAGAACACCCGUGGCGAAGGCGGCUCUCUGGGACGGUACUGACGCUGAGACGCGAAGCGUGGGGAGCGAACAGG